UACAUAGGAGGCAAGCGUUGUCCGGAAUCACUGGGCGUAAAGGGCGCGUAGGCGGCCUGCUAAGUAGAGGGUGAAAUCCUGCGGCUCAACCGCAGGGCUGCCUUCUAAACUGUCAGGCUGGAGCACGGUAGAGGCAGAUGGAAUUCCCGGUGUAGCGGUGGAAUGCGUAGAGAUCGGGAAGAACACCAGUGGCGAAGGCGGUCUGCUGGGCCGUUGCUGACGCUGAGGCGCGACAGCGUGGGGAGCAAACAGG
rnacentral:rRNA from 1 species